GCGGGCAGGCGAAGUUAGCGUACCGGUGGAGGUGAGCGGGCAGGAGAAGUUAGCGCUCCGGUGGAGGAUAGCGGGCAGGUGAAGUUAGCGCGCCGGAAGCGGAUAGCAGGCAGGCUAAGUUAGCGCGCCGGUGGAGG